rnacentral:rRNA from 1 species
CCUACGGGCGGCAGCAGUGGGGGAUAUUGCACAAUGGGGGAAACCCUGAUGCAGCGACGCCGCGUGAGUGAAGAAGUAUUUCGGUAUGUAAAGCUCUAUCAGCAGGGAAGAAAAUGACAGUACCUGACCAAGAAGCCCCGGCGAACUAGGUGCCAACAGCCGCGGUAAUACGUAGGGGGCAAGCGUUAUCCGGAUUUACGGGGGGUAAGGGGAGCGUAGACGGUUAGUUAAGUCGGGAGUGAAAGCCCGGGGCCCAACCCCGGGACUGCUUUUGAAACUGUGUAACUGGAGUACAGGAGGGGCAGGCGGAAUGCCUGGUGUAGCGGUGAAAUGCGUAGAUAUCAGGAGGAACACCGGCUGCGAAGGCGGCCUGCUGAACUGAAACUGACGUUGAGGCUCGAAAGCGUGGGGAGCAAACAGGAUUAGAUACCCGAGUAGUC